rnacentral:rRNA from 1 species
UGAGCUUGAUCCUGGCUCAGGACGAACGCUGGCGGCGUGCCUAAUACAUGCAAGUCGAGCGAACUUCUUUAGAGCUUGCUUUAAAGAAGUUAGCGGCGGACGGGUGAGUAACACGUGGGCAACCUGCCUGUAAGACUGGGAUAACUUCGGGAAACCGGAGCUAAUACCGGAUAAUAUAUAGUACCUCCUGGUACUAUAUUGAAAGAUGGUUUCGGCUAUCACUUACAGAUGGGCCCGCGGCGCAUUAGCUAGUUGGUGAGGUAACGGCUCACCAAGGCAACGAUGCGUAGCCGACCUGAGAGGGUGAUCGGCCACACUGGGACUGAGACACGGCCCAGACUCCUACGGGAGGCAGCAGUAGGGAAUCUUCCACAAUGGACGAAAGUCUGAUGGAGCAACGCCGCGUGAGCGAUGAAGGCCUUCGGGUCGUAAAGCUCUGUUGUUAGGGAAGAACAAGUGCGAGAGUAACUGCUCGCACCCUUGACGGUACCUACCA